rnacentral:rRNA from 1 species
UACGGAGGGGGCUAGCGUUGUUCGGAAUUACUGGGCGUAAAGCGCACGUAGGCGGCUUUGUAGGUUAGAGGUGAAAGCCCGGGGCUCAACCCCGGAAUUGCCUUUAAGACUGCAUCGCUAGAAUUGUGGAGAGGUAAGUGGAAUUCCGAGUGUAGAGGUGAAAUUCGUAGAUAUUCGGAAGAACACCAGUGGCGAAGGCGACUUACUGGACACAUAUUGACGCUGAGGUGCGAAAGCGUGGGGAGCAAACAGG